rnacentral:rRNA from 1 species
UCAGGAUGAACGCUAGCGGCAGGCCUAAUACAUGCAAGUCGGACGGGAUCCGUCGGAGAGCUUGCUCGAAGACGGUGAGAGUGGCGCACGGGUGCGUAACGCGUGAGCAACCUACCUCUAUCAGGGGGAUAGCCUCUCGAAAGAGAGAUUAACACCGCAUAACAUAUGUGACCGGCAUCGGUUAGAUAUUAAAUAUUUAUAGGAUAGAGAUGGGCUCGCGUGACAUUAGCUAGUUGGUAGGGUAACGGCUUACCAAGGCGACGAUGUCUAGGGGCUCUGAGAGGAGAAUCCCCCACACUGGUACUGAGACACGGACCAGACUCCUACGGGAGGCAGCAGUAAGGAAUAUUGGUCAAUGGGCGGAAGCCUGAACCAGCCAUGCCGCGUGCAGGAUGACUGCCCUAUGGGUUGUAAACUGCUUUUGUCCAGGAAUAAACCUAGAUACGUGUAUCUAGCUGAAUGUACUGGAAGAAUAAGGAUCGGCUAACUCCGUGCCAGCAGCCGCGGUAAUACGGAGGAUCCGAGCGUUAUCCGGAUUUAUUGGGUUUAAAGGGUGCGUAGGCGGCCUAUUAAGUCAGGGGUGAAAUACGGUGGCUCAACCAUCGCAGUGCCUUUGAUACUGAUGGGCUUGAAUCCAUUUGAAGUGGGCGGAAUAAGACAAGUAGCGGUGAAAUGCAUAGAUAUGUCUUAGAACUCCGAU